CGCCAUAGAGCCUGGUGGUGAAUCAUCAGCAGUCGUCGGCGGCGGCAGCAGCUCCUCUCUGCUGCUGACCCGCAUUCACCCGUACUGUACAGUCAAAGGGGGAGGAGGACCGAGCAGGGAGAGCUCCAGAACACUUCCUCUGCACACCGCGACCAUGGCUGUGGCGGUCCGGGACAGACGCGGCGCUCCCGUCUCCACGAACCUGAGAGCCGACUAGAAGGUGGAGGCAGCACCGGGAAGACCGCGAAGAAGAGGAAGGAGGAAGAAAAAGAGGAAGAAGACUCACGGAGACGCCGUUUAACACGGUGGAGACCCUGAAGACCCCGUACCUGUGAAGAGCCAGUCCAGCUCCUGGGAAACCCACCAGCAUUCUUUUCCCUUUGUUUUCCAGACGAACCAGACAGGGAGCGUAUCUCCUGAAGGUUGACCUCCUCCUCCGCUCCUCCGCUCCUCCGCUCCUCUCUGGUCCAAUCAGAGGAGCCUCCUCACUCGUCUACCUCCGAGACAAACAGACUAACAAAACAA